rnacentral:rRNA from 1 species
AUUGAACGCUGGCGGCAGGCCUAACACAUGCAAGUCGGACGGUAGCACAGAGAGCUUGCUCUUGGGUGACGAGUGGCGGACGGGUGAGUAAUGUCUGGGGAUCUGCCCGAUAGAGGGGGAUAACCACUGGAAACGGUGGCUAAUACCGCAUAACGUCGCAAGACCAAAGAGGGGGACCUUCGGGCCUCUCACUAUCGGAUGAACCCAGAUGGGAUUAGCUAGUAGGCGGGGUAAUGGCCCACCUAGGCGACGAUCCCUGGCUGGUCUGGGAGGACGACCAGCCACACUGGAACUGAGACACGGUCCAGACUCCUCAGGGAGGCAGCAGUGGGGAAUAUUGCACAAUGGGCGCAAGCCUGAUGCAGCCAUGCCGCGUGUAUGAAGAAGGCCUUCGGGUUGUAAAGUACUUUCAGCGGGGAGGAAGGCGGUGAGGUUAAUAACCUCACCGAUUGACGUUACCCGCAGAAGAAGCACCGGCUAACUCCGUGCCAGCCGCCGCCGUAA